UACGGGGGGGGCAAGCGUUGUUCGGAAUUACUGGGCGUAAAGGGCUCGUAGGCGGCCACCUAAGUCGGACGUGAAAUCCCUCAGCUUAACUGAGGAACUGCGUCCGAUACUGGAUGGCUUGGAUUCGGGAGAGGAAUGCGGAAUUCCAGGUGUAGCGGUGAAAUGCGUAGAUAUCUGGAGGAACACCGGUGGCGAAGGCGGCAUUCUGGACCGACAUUGACGCUGAGGAGCGAAAGCCAGGGGAGCAAACGGG
rnacentral:rRNA from 1 species